AAUUACUUAGCUUAAAUUAAGUUCAUAUUUUGAAAAUAUGAGAUAGAAAAACUUCUAGUAAUUU
rnacentral:tRNA from 1 species